UGACAUCCACAGAACUUUCCAGAGAUGGAUUGGUGCCUUCGGGAACUGUGAGACAGGUGCUGCAUGGCUGUCGUCAGCUCGUGUUGUGAAAUGUUGGGUUAAGUCCCGCAACGAGCGCAACCCUUAUCCUUUGUUGCCAGCGGUCCGGCCGGGAACUCAAAGGAGACUGCCAGUGAUAAACUGGAGGAAGGUGGGGAUGACGUCAAGUCAUCAUGGCCCUUACGACCAGGGCUACACACGUGCUACAAUGGCAUAUACAAAGAGAAGCGACCUCGCGAGAGCAAGCGGA
rnacentral:rRNA from 1 species